rnacentral:rRNA from 1 species
UGAGGAAUAUUGGUCAAUGGGCGAGAGCCUGAACCAGCCAAGUAGCGUGCAGGAUGACGGCCCUAUGGGUUGUAAACUGCUUUUAUAGGGGAAUAAAGUGAGCCACGUGUGGUUUUUUGCAUGUACCCUAUGAAUAAGGACCGGCUAAUUCCGUGCCAGCAGCCGCGGUAAUACGGAAGGUCCGGGCGUUAUCCGGAUUUAUUGGGUUUAAAGGGAGCGUAGGCCGGAGAUUAAGCGUGUUGUGAAAUGUAGAUGCUCAACAUCUGAACUGCAGCGCGAACUGGUUUCCUUGAGUACGCAUAAAGUGGGCGGAAUUCGUGGUGUAGCGGUGAAAUGCUUAGAUAUCACGAAGAACUCCGAUUGCGAAGGCAGCUCACUGGGGCGCAACUGACGCUGAAGCUCGAAAGCGCGGGUAUCGAACA